rnacentral:rRNA from 1 species
AUGCACGCUGACAGAAUGCUUAACACAUGCAAGUCUACUUGAACUUCGGUUUGGGUGGCGGACGGGUGAGUAACGCGUAAAGAACUUGCCUCACAGAUAGGGACAACAUUUGGAAACGAAUGCUAAUACCUGAUAUUAUGAUUUUAGGGCAUCCUAGAAUUAUGAAAGCUAUAUGCACUGUGAGAGAGCUUUGCGUCCCAUUAGCUAGUUGGAGAGGUAACGGCUCACCAAGGCGAUGAUGGGUAGCCGGCCUGAGAGGGUGAUCGGCCACAAGGGGACUGAGACACGGCCCUUACUCCUACGGGAGGCAGCAGUGGGGAAUAUUGGACAAUGGACCAAGAGUCUGAUCCAGCAAUUCUGUGUGCACGAUGAAGUUUUUCGGAAUGUAAAGUGCUUUCAGUUGGGAAGAAAAAAAUGACGGUACCAACAGAAGAAGUGACGGCUAAAUACGUG